rnacentral:misc_RNA from 1 species
GAUGAAGAACGUAGCGAAAUGCGAUAAGUAAUGUGAAUUGCAGAAUUCAGUGAAUCAUCGAGUCUUUGAACGCACAUUGCGCCCCCUGGUAUUCCGGGGGGCAUGCCUGUCCGAGCGUCAUUGCUGCCCUCAAGCACGGCUUGUGUGUUGGGCCCCCGUCCCCGGUUUCCCCCGGGGACGGGCCCGAAAGGUAGCGGCGGCACCGCGUCCGGUCCUCGAGCGUAUGGGGCUUUGUCACCCGCUCUGUAGGCCCGGCCGGCGCCAGCCGACACCCAACUUUAUUUCUAAGGUUGACCUCGGAUCAGGUAGGGAUACCCGCUGAACUUAAGCAUAUCAAUAAGCGGAGGA